rnacentral:rRNA from 1 species
GAUGAACGCUGGCGGCGUGCCUAAUACAUGCAAGUCGAGCGAAGCGGGGACGGGUGAGUAACACGUGGAUAACCUCCUAUAAGACUGGGAUAACUUCGGGAAACGGGAGCUAAACCGGAUACUUAUAGUUGACUCGCGGUUGCAUUAGCUAGUUGGUAAGUUAACGGCUGACCAAGGCAACGAUGCAUAGCCGACCUGAAAGGUUGAUGGGCCACACGGGAACUGAGACACGGUCCAGACUCCAACGGGAGGCGGAAGUAGGGAAUCUGCCGCAAUGGGCGAAAGCCUGACGUAGCAACGCCGCGUGAGUGAUGAAGGUCUUCGGAUCGUAAGACGCUUUUAUUAGGGAAGCGGUACCUAAUCAGAAAGCCACGGCUAACUACGUGCCAGCAGCCGCGGUAAUUC